rnacentral:rRNA from 1 species
GACGAACGCUGGCGGCGUGCUUAAUACAUGCAAGUCAACUGAACUUAAGGUAGCAAUAUUUUAAGGGAGGUGGCGCACGGGUGAGUAACACGUAGGUAAUCUGCCUUUAGGUCUGACAUAAUUCCGCGAAAGCGGGACUAAUAUCAGAUGAUGCAGCGGCUCGACAUCGAGACAGUUGUUAAACCUCGGGCCGUAAGAAUGAGCCUGCGUCUGAUUAGGAGUUGGCGGAGUAAAAGACCCACCAAGCCUGCGAUCAGUAGCUGGUCUGAGAGGAUGAUCAGCCACACUGGAACUGAGACACGGUCCAGACUCCUACGGGAGGCAGCAGUAAGGAAUAUUGCUCAAUAGGCCGAAA